GAGAGAAAGAGACAAAGAUGGGUUUAUUUCACCUCCAAACCAAAUACUUCAAAGAAAAAGAUCAUCCCUGCCAUUUUCCAGUGCCAUGCAAAAAGCAGAGAUACCGUUUUGGAGCCUGCAUCAUUUCAGAAGAAAAUGUGGAUAUAAGGCACACGUACUUGAUUAGGGUGUCUAAGAGAACAUGAAGAACUUCCUGCAGUCUGGACUUUCACUUCAGAGAAGCUGAAAAUUUGGAAGGUGCAUUUUUGUAUCCUAGGAUGAAAACUUGCAAGUAGAGCUGUGCCCAGUAUCUGUUGAUAUUCUGGAUUUUAUUGUGUUUAUAAUAAUCAGAUUGACAUCUAUGUUUUCAGUGACUACUUGGAUGAAAUAAAGAAUGAAGUUUUAGUGGCUCA